AGAUUUGUUGGAGAAUAAACUUGUUGACCUACCUGCCGGGCUGUUUGACGCGACAACCGAAUUGAGAUACCUAGAUUUGGACGAUAAUCAACUUGAUCACCUACCUGACGGGCUGUUCAAAGCCACAACCAAAUUACAAAAACUAAAUUUGGCCUAUAAUGAACUUGUUCAACUACCUGACGGGCUGUUCCAAGCAACAACCAAAUUAGAAGAACUGUAA